rnacentral:rRNA from 1 species
AUGAGUAAAGUGGCGCACGGGUGAGUAACACGUAGGUGACCUGCCUUAUAGAGGGGAAUAACCAGAAGAAAUUUUGGCUAAUGCCGCAUACGAAGUACAAAUCUAAAAGUAGUACUUGAAAGGAUGCCUCUGCAUAUGCAUCCACUAUUUGAUGGGCCUGCGGUACAUUAGCUUGUUGGUGGGGUAAAGGCCUACCAAGGCGACGAUGUAUAUCCGGUCUGAGAGGAUGAUCGGACACACUGGAACUGAGACACGGUCCAGACUCC